rnacentral:rRNA from 1 species
GUGGAUUAGAUACCCUGGUAGUCCACGCCGUAAACGUUGGGCGCUAGGUGUGGGGUCCUUCCACGGACUCCGUGCCGCAGCUAACGCAUUAAGCGCCCCGCCUGGGGAGUACGGCCGCAAGGCUAAAACUCAAAGGAAUUGACGGGGGCCCGCACAAGCGGCGGAGCAUGUUGCUUAAUUCGAUGCAACGCGAAGAACCUUACCAAGGUUUGACAUGCAGGGAAAAGCCGUAGAGAUACGGUGUCCGUAAGGGUCCUGCACAGGUGGUGCAUGGCCGUCGUCAGCU